GGCGCAAGCCUGAUGGAGCAACACCGCUUGAGUGAAGAAGGGUUUCGGCUCGUAAAGCUCUGUUGUUGGAGAAGAACGUGCGUGAGAGUAACUGUUCACGCAGUGACGGUAUCCAACCAGAAAGUCACGGCUAACUACGUGCCAGCAGCCGCGGUAAUACGUAGGUGGCAAGCGUUAUCCGGAUUUAUUGGGCGUAAAGCGAGCGCAGGCGGUUGCUUAGGUCUGAUGUGAAAGCCUUCGGCUUAACCGAAGAAGUGCAUCGGAAACCGGGCGACUUGAGUGCAGAAGAGGACAGUGGAACUCCAUGUGUAGCGGUGGAAUGCGUAGAUAUAUGGAAGAACACCAGUGGCGAAGGCGGCUGUCUGGUCUGCAACUGACGCUGAGGCUCGAAAGCAUGGGUAGCGAACAGGAUUAGAUACCCUGGUAGUCCAUGCCGUAAACGAUGAGUGCUAGGUGUUGGAGGGUUUCCGCCCUUCAGUGCCGGAGCUAACGCAUUAAGCACUCCGCCUGGGGAGUACGACCGCAAGGUUGAAACUCAAAGGAAUUGACGGGGGCCCGCACAAGCGGUGGAGCAUGUGGUUUAAUUCGAAGCUACGCGAAGAACCUUACCAGGUCUUGACAUCUUGCGCUAACCUUAGAGAUAAGGCGUUCCCUUCGGGGACGCAAUGACAGGUGGUGCAUGGUCGUCGUCAGCUCGUGUCGUGAGAUGUUGGGUUAAGUCCCGCAACGAGCGCAACCCUUGUUACUAGUUGCCAGCAUUAAGUUGGGCACUCUAGUGAGACUGCCGGUGACAAACCGGAGGAAGGUGGGGACGACGUCAGAUCAUCAUGCCCCUUAUGACCUGGGCUACACACGUGCUACAAUGGACGGUACAACGAGU
rnacentral:rRNA from 1 species